UGAUAUUGACACCACUUUCUGUUGUCAAUUAGGUUUUUUUUUAGGCUAUUGACAACCUAUCCGCUUGGUGGCGCUGCUUGAGUGACUGACGGCAAAAACAUGAAUGUGCACGAGAGUGCUUUGGCAUUGUGAUAUGUUAGUUACAGAUUUGUUUUUUUUUCCCUUCGUUGAAGGAUUUCAGUUUAACCUGAAUCAAUUGUUUAUUUCGACUUUCGACAGAUUGUACAGGUUUGCGGCAAGUUGGACAGAUGUAUUCCAGUGUUGUUUGAUUUUGUUCAUGAACUAGUGAUAAAUUUGAAUAGUAUCUUUUUAAAUUAGUGAUAAGAUUAUUUUUACUGUUUGUCAUUAGUUGUUUCCAUCCUUCUUCAGUGAAUAGGUUUUCAAAUGAUUGUAAUACGCUUUGCACAUCAUCUUCGAGAACUGCUCUGUUCGAAGUAAUAUGCAAAUAAUUGCUUCAAAUGCUCUUGCUUUCCCUAAUGCAAGAAUUCACGCCGGAAUGAUUAUGACUCUGGUUAGACAAAAGAAAUUUGUGGAACUUGAAUCCUUUCUCAAAGAGCACGAUUGCUUAGCUAAUAGUAUUACAACGCUUGACAAUCUCUUUGGUGUCACCAGCUCUUCUGUGGUGUCCGAUUCGUCUUCUGAUGAAUGAAAUGUUCAACCCGUGAUGAAGCCUACAAUUUAUCGUUGUGAUGAAUAAACUUGUCACGUUAAUUAA